UAUCUCUCCGUACGGGGAAGGAUGAGAAGCUUCGACUAAGGUUCGAUUCGAGCGAAAGCGAGAAAGCGUUGCCGCAGGCAACGACCCGAAGGGCGAAGCGCGCAGCGCUGAGUCAACCUUCCCCCACCACCA
rnacentral:sRNA from 50 species